rnacentral:rRNA from 1 species
AUUGAACGCUGGCGGCAUGCCUUACACAUGCAAGUCGAACGGUAACAGGUCUUCGGAUGCUGACGAGUGGCGAACGGGUGAGUAAUACAUCGGAACGUGCCUAGUAGUGGGGGAUAACUACUCGAAAGAGUGGCUAAUACCGCAUGAGAUCUACGGAUGAAAGCAGGGGAUCGCAAGACCUUGUGCUACUAGAGCGGCCGAUGGCAGAUUAGGUAGUUGGUGGGAUAAAAGCUUACCAAGCCGACGAUCUGUAGCUGGUCUGAGAGGACGAUCAGCCACACUGGGACUGAGACACGGCCCAGACUCCUACGGGAGGCAGCAGUGGGGAAUUUUGGACAAUGGGCGCAAGCCUGAUCCAGCAAUGCUGCGUGCAGGAUGAAGGCCUUCGGGUUGUAAACUGCUUUUGUACGGAACGAAAAGCCCCGGGUUAAUACCCUGGGGUCAUGACGGUACCGUAUGAAUAAGCACCGGCUAACUACGUGCCAGCCGCCGCAGUAA